AGCGAACGCUGGCGGCAGGCCUAACACAUGCAAGUCGAACGAAGUCUUCGGACUUAGUGGCGGACGGGUGAGUAACACGUGGGAACGUACCCUUUGGUUCGGAAUAACUGAGGGAAACUUCAGCUAAUACCGGAUAAGCUCUUCGGAGGAAAGAUUUAUCGCCAUUAGAGCGGCCCGCGUUGGAUUAGGUAGUUGGUGUGGUAAAGGCGCACCAAGCCUACGAUCCAUAGCUGGUCUGAGAGGAUGAUCAGCCACACUGGGACUGAGACACGGCCCAGACUCCUACGGGAGGCAGCAGUGGGGAAUCUUGCGCAAUGGUCGAAAGACUGACGCAGCCAUGCCGCGUGAAUGAUGAAGGUCUUAGGAUUGUAAAAUUCUUUUAGCAGGGACGAUAAUGACGGUACCUGCAGAAAAAGCCCCGGCUAACUUCGUGCCAGCAGCCGCCGUAA
rnacentral:rRNA from 1 species